rnacentral:rRNA from 1 species
AUUGAACGCUGGCGGCAGGCCUAACACAUGCAAGUCGAGCGGAUGAAGGGAGCUUGCUCCUGGAUUCAGCGGCGGACGGGUGAGUAAUGCCUAGGAAUCUGCCUGGUAGUGGGGGAUAACGUCCGGAAACGGGCGCUAAUACCGCAUACGUCCUGAGGGAGAAAGUGGGGGAUCUUCGGACCUCACGCUAUCAGAUGAGCCUAGGUCGGAUUAGCUAGUUGGUGGGGUAAAGGCCUACCAAGGCGACGAUCCGUAACUGGUAUGAGAGGAUGAUCAGUCACACUGGAACUGAGACACGGUCCAGACUCCUACGGGAGGCAGCAGUGGGGAAUAUUGGACGAUGGGCGAAAGCCUGAUCCAGCCAUGCCGCGUGUGUGAAGAAGGUCUUCGGAUUGUAAAGCACUUUAAGUUGGGAGGAAGGGCAGUAAGUUAAUACCUUGCUGUUUUGACGUUACCAACAGAAUAAGCACCGGCUAACUUCGUG